CGGGGUGUAGCGCAGUCUGGUAGCGCACCGCUCUGGGGGAGCGGUGGUCACAGGUUCGAAUCCUGUCAUCCCGA
rnacentral:tRNA from 1 species